rnacentral:lncRNA from 1 species
UUAUCCUUACCCAUACAAGUCACCACCACCACCACCUCUCCACCACCACAAACCACCAACACUACCACCUCCUCCUGUUUACCACUACAAAUCACCACCUCCCCCUCCCCAUGUCUACAAGUAUAAAUCUCCACCACCACCUCCUUACCACCCCAUAUCACCAGCUCCUCCUCAUCAUCAUGCCUACAAGUAUAAAUCUCCACCACCACCUCCUUACCACCCUGCUCCUAUCUACAAGUACAAGUCACCACCUCCCCUCAUCAUGCUUACAAAUAUAAAUCUCCACCACCCCCUCUUCACCACCCUGCUCCUGUCUACAAGUACAAGUCACCACCUCCUCCUCACCAUGUCUACAAGUACAAAUCUCCACCACCCCCUCGCCAUUACAAGGCACCUUGUCCUCCUUCCCCUGUCUACAAAUAUAAAUCACCACCACCCCCUCCCUACCAUCACAUAUCACCAACCCUACCUCCCUACCACGACAAGUCACCACCACCACCCCCUCCUGUUUACAAGUAUAAAUCACCACCGCCACCUCCCUAUCACUACAAGUCACCACCACCUCCCCCUCCAGUCUACAAGUAUAAGUCUCCUCCACCACCUCCACAUGUUUAUCACUACACUUCACCUCCUCCUCCUCCCUAUCACUAUUAAGCGGCAGAACACCGUCGAAACCAAAAGGGUUAGUUGCUUGUAUUUUCUGAGCUCAGAAUAUGGUUAAAAAUGAAGUUACUUGGAGUAAUAACAAACGGAUGUUUCUUGUUCUUUCUUUCUUUGUUUUCUUUCUCUUUUUUUUUUAAGAGAGCUAAUUAAUUAAGCCGAAGCCAAAUGGAAAACACAUGGGCAAUUUUAAAACAGCACCAUUGGAACAUAACCCCCCUCUCGUUUUUUAUUAUUUUGCAGGGAUGAAGACUUAUCUUUCCUGAUGGUUGCCAUAUAUGAACCAGCAUCAAGUGCAGGUUUUACUAGGGUUGUGGAGAGUAGAAUAAAGCAAUCGAGGUUCCUUCUACAAAAGAAGUGGCCCCUGAUGCUUCUAUGGAGUGAAUAAAGUUGCUUUAUAUCGUGUAAUGCAGAAGCAUCUGCUUAGUAGCUGGAAAAGAGUGGAAAGAGGAGAUAAGCAUAUGUACUUGCUCUUUCCUGCUUUUGAAUUGUAUUUUUGUUAGUAUUUUGGCAAAUCUCUAGGGAUUUCCUUCAAUCCCUCCUACUAUGUUCAGUUAUAACCCAGAAGUUAUUACAAUCAUAACUGUACUUGCAAGUAGCCAGUAGAAGCAUGUAUGUCCAGUUGUUGAAUGCACGCAUUAUACAAAGUUUCGGGUAUCUGAAGUAAUUAAAAAGUGGCCAUGAAGAGUGAAAAGCUCUUACAUUUAAGGACUAAUUAAUUUGCAUGGAGCGGUUUGUCAUCAUAGUAGAGACAUGAUGAAGAUAAGUUUGAACAGCUAGUGAUGGAGCAAAAGAGGAUGAAAAUGGGGAAAAUCCUAGAACUGUAAAUGAGGAAGUGACUUUAAGUCGAUAAGUAGUUCGACAUCAUGAUCAUACCUAUGAUCAAAUGCAGCUAGCUACAGAUGAGAUUUAUGCAUACUAAAUUUGUUGUUAUUCAUGACCCACCCUUACAUCAACUAUAGCAAUUACAAUAUUGAUUGCAGUUAGGCCAUUUGAAUUUCUACAAAGAACACCUCGAACUACCAAAUUAAUAAGCACUCAGUGAUACCACAAUGAGGCAGCUAAUAAUCUACAAAUCUUGUGGGCCGCAAACAUAAUCCCUAGCUUAUGUUUUCCAUGAUAGAAAUGAUUAAGCCAGUCAGAAAAAACUGACUUCAAAGAGUCACCCUAUGCGAGCAUUACUCCUCUCAUAAUCUCCCUUAAAGAAAGAGCACGCCGCCCAUAUAAGAAUUGCAUGGUAGAACUCUGCAAGUAAUCAUGCCAACCCUCGUUCCUGGGAUCGAUUGAAGGAGGGAGAGAAGCCAUGAUCUCAUGAAACAGCAUUUAUCUUUUUGCUAAUAUUAUCAGGUCUAUGAAUUAAGCUUGAGAGGCAACGCCAGUCCAGAUCAAGACUGAAUCAUAAUGCAUGGUCCCAAAAUGUGGUUAGAAGUGUAAAAUAUGAACUAAAUUAAAGCAGAGAUCAAAAGGACAAUUAAGGCCAUUAUCAGGAAAAGCAGACAGCCGAUACAGAUUUUUGUACAACCUUUGGACUGGAUUGCUUGGAUGGCAAACUGCCGACAAAGACUGAAAGAUCCCUAAAUUAUUGUGAGGUUUCUGACGUAUUCUCUUAGCUGUCUUCUUCCUCCUCCUCCUCCUUUUUAUUUUUUAAUUUGUGUGCCUUGUAUCAUUCACAAUCUUCUGAAAACUUUUCGUUGUAGAUUACGACAUUACUGUUGUUCAACUUCUCUUUCCCUAUCCACUGGUUCUUGCACCAAGCUGGAAAGGAGAGAGGUCAGUGUAGGGUCAUGGAACCAGAAUUUGGUGGCUCAGAUACGUGCCCACCUUCACCCUCAAAGCUGAAACUGAAAGUGCACAGAAGUAGAGAAGGCAAUGAAGAGCUUGAUUAGUCAAAAGAUCGCCAAGAUGAAGACCUUACAGGAAAGAAAAAUCUUAAGCUGGACUUCACUCUUGGAGGGUAGCUUUGGCAGCAACUUCCACGCAAGCUGCAAUAAUUGGAGGCCUUUUCUUUCAAACAUGAUCAUAUCCUAGCAAUAAAGGAGAACCAUGUUGGAUCUAGGAAAAGUGUGCAUGGAGUCUAAUGGACAGCAAUAAUUUUAACUAAUUAGAAUCACGUAAUGGUCGUGUUUUAAAGAAAGAUUGGGCUACUUUCAUUUGUUAGCUUUUAUAUAAGCGUGCCUCUGUCUCCUCUCCAAAACCAUAUAAUUAACUCUUUGCAUGAAAUGUUACCUAUUUUUUUUUAAAAAAUAUAUUCUUUAAUUAGUUUUUUCUAUCUAAUUCUAAGGAUGAUCUAGCUUUUCUGCAAUUUUUUUCUUUACAACUUUGCCACCAAUCGAUCCCGCCAUACUUAUGUGAUUUGACUUCGCUUUUUGUGACUUUUUAUAUAUAUAUAUAUAUGUCUUUACAGCUUUGUUACUCUUGAGCUACGUACUAUUGAUCCUAUAAUAAUUGCAUGCUUUAGCUUUUGUGAUGAUUCUUUUGUCUUUACAACCUGGCCGCUCUUCUCCCACUAGUUUAUUCUGUCGUAUUUCUGUGCUUUGCAUUUGCUUUUUCCGCGAUGUAUAUAUUCUUGUCUAUGGAUUAUGUAACUCAUAAGUGGCGCUUGGACUGUCAGUACUACAUGGCAAUCCAAUUAGCACUGCGACUGGGCUCGCUCAGAGAUGCAAACAACAGCUACUCCCCCACCCUCCCCAGAGUGGGGCCUUUGUGGUAGUGAUCAGGUCAGAAACUACGUACUUACUCUCCAGUAAAAAGAGUGAAUACGUAAUUAUCAAAAUAACUAGCUCAUCAUAAUCAGGCAGACAUUGAGCUUUACAUGAAGAACCAAAGCUUCCACUAUCAGCAAAAUGGAAUAAAUUAGCUUUCAGAUCCGUCCAUUCCUAAGUCACUUAUGAGUAUUUCGAAUACAGACCUAGCCAGCCUGCAAUUCUAUAGUUCUGCUGGUCAUACUAGCUCAACCCAUAAAUGCCAUAUAUUUUCAACCAAUCAUUCAAAUAGAUCUUAUAUAUUUAAAUCUAAUAUACUAUAUUUUUUUAAUAAAUCAAAUAGAUAUAAAUAUAUCUGCCAGAGUUAGCGAGGGUUAGAAUUCUAUAAUAUACUUACGGUAUAGUUGAUACAUAAGAUACUAUUCAAUCGACUGCAGUGUUAAUUUUUUAUACAAAACAUUUUAAUAAAAAAUAAUAUAUGCAUCACAUGCAAAUAAUUUUUUUUUUUUAUGCAUGAAAAAUCUCAGGGUGCAUCCAAUGGCAACAAUCCACGCAGAAGGGUUGGAAUCUACUGACCCUCGCACCGUCAAUCGUUACAGUGGAGACGUGCAAUAAUUGAGUUAUAACGAGGGAACAUCAUCUUGGGACGUGGAGUGUCGGUAGAGCCCGGAGGGCGGGCCCGGUCGGCCAGCCUGGUGUCUCGCUUUCCGCGUCGCCUUGGCCAUUUUUUCCAUGCACGUUAUCAUCACACUCAGCAUCUGACCCUUUUGUUUCUUGUCCCUGCUUGCUUCCGUCUUAUCGGAAUGAGAUUCCACUGCUACUUCCCGUUGUAAUCCGGCAUUAGCUCCCGCUGUCCACCUCCACAUGCGACCCAUUUCUUUCAUGGGCCCCCUCUCUCCUUUCCCACAACCAUCCCCAAUUCUCCACAAUUCGAGUCCAAUAUCCACAUUGUCAACGCUUCAAAUGCUCAAUCAUUAGCCAAAUGCAAAUAAUGCUAGGAGAAAAUCUGGAUCCAUCUUUGAAUUGACUGCUAACUCCUCAUCUUUGGAUUAUCCAUUUAGAUAUAGAACUGAAAUAGGAUCAUCUCCGAAUCUAAUACCAGUGUAUUUAUAUUCAUGUAUAUUUUAUUUUGAUGAAUAUAGAUAUGAAUAUGAAUGCUAUAUUUAUUUUAAAUAGAUACGGAUAUAAAAUCGGAUGCUAUUAUAUAUAUAAAUAUGGAUAUAAGUUUAAUUAAAUUUUAUAAUCAUAGAAUCUAAAGAUAUUGCUAAAUAGAUGAUAAAUCUAAUUAAUAGCAUGUUAAUGUAGUCGUUUAUCUUUCUUAAAAGUUUAUAAGUGCUAUAUAAAAUUAGAUGGAGUUACAAAUAGAGUCGAACAUAGAUAUGGAUACGGAUAUUAGUCAGAUGCUCAAAUUGCUAUUUAGAUUCGAAUAAAUUCGGAUAAAAAAUAGAUACAGAUGGAUAUUAUUCGAUCUACUUUCACUUCUAUUUACAGAUCAAGCUCAACCAUGUAUAAGGACUAAAAUGUAAAAUGAUAUCCACAUAAAAUGGCAUUCAACAAAGGACCAGAUGGUAAGUUUCCCAAUAAUAUUUGAUCGAUGUAGGAGAAGCAUGAUGAAUAUAGUCUAGACUGAACCGGGGAUGCUUAACUCGAUCUCCUGAUGCGACAGCAUUAGGCCAAUGGACACUCCAUUUGCCCUGGGUGGAAUCAAGAUCGGGGUGUUUAUAAAUCAUGCUUUCAACUGCAUGCACAGAAUGCAAAUGAUGCUAUCCAUCAGUGCUCAUUAAUGCAAUGGGAUCAAGAGGCAAGAAUCAACUCCAGGAACCAUGCCUGAAACUAAUCAGGAAUCUCGAUCUUAGAUCAUGUUGGUAACCACAUUGCCAGGGCUAAGGGCCCUGGUGAAUAUAAAUGUGUUUUAAUCUAUAUUCAACAAAGAGACAUUAGUUUGAUCAGUGUUUAAUAUAUUGACAAGUACUUAUGAACCCAUUGCUGCAAUCUAUAAAUUUUUAUUUUUCUUUAUAUAAUUUUUUUAAUUUUCUUUAUUUAAUAAUUUUCUAUUCAAUAUAUAUAUCUGACUAUUUUAAUUUAAAAUUAUUCUAAUCACCAAUAUUUUACUCAAUUAUGAUUAACUUGACUUAAAAUAAUUUCAAAUUUUCUUCAUUUAAAAAAUUGUCCUCAUUGAUUAUUUACUUUUCUUUAUUUCUUAAUUUUCUUUACUCAGAUAUUUUCUACCCAUGAUAAUUAUUCAACUACAAAUCCGAAAUAGUUUCAAAUUUUCUUUGUCUGACUUUUUCUUCAAUGUAAAUAUCCGACCACAUCAAUUGUACUCAAUUAUGAUUAGCUAGAAUUUGAUAUAAUGUUCUAUAUUCAAAAUAUUUUUACUCGUUCACUAUAUAUUUAUGUUAGAAUAAAUUAUAAAAACCUCCUUAAGAUCAAAGAUAAAUUGCACUUACACCUAAUAAUUUGAAAAGGCUACAUUUAUCUCCUUGAGGCUUAUUUUAUAAAACACUUUAACUCAUAACUUAGCAAAACAUUAGCUAGACUGUUAACAUUAAAUAAAACCCGAAAAAAAUUGAAGAAUGACCAAAACAAUCUUAAGUGAUAUAACCACCACUCAACGAACUAAAAAAAUAUAUACAUUCUUCCCUUCAUCCAAAGACAAUUUUGACUUUUUACCUAAGAUGAACAACCUUGCUAACAUUAUUAAUUUAACUAAACGUAAGUAUACAUUUUUAUAAACUAUAAAAUAUAAAUGUAAUAAGGAUAAACAUUAGGAGAAUUUUUGUGAUUUACUCUUAAUUUUAUUUAUUUGGCAUUUUUUUAGAUUUCUUAUUUAGAUGUUUUACAUUCACCAUAAUUAUCUGAUUGUGGCAGAUAUUUUCUAUAUCUAACCAAUUUGUAUAGCAUAAUUUUAACUAGCAUGAGAUUUUUACGCAUUUUAAAAAGAGGGGGUAACUUCGGGACUGAAAAUGACUGAUGAAAUCUGAAAGUAAUAUUUGGACUCAUGCUGCAGCAAGGUCUCACCCUCCUGGAAAUGGACGAGUUAGCUUACUUGUAAAUCUUAGCUACGAUCGGACACCCAUCAGAAAUUCAACGAAUAUCACCAUAUGGUUAACAAAGUGUAUGCAGUAAAGAUGCCCCAGCCUGCUGAAUCCCUUUACAUCAAUAACAUGAAGCUUCCAAGCAUUAUAAACUCCGAAAUAGAAGGAUGGUAACACAUCAACAGCCAAUAUUUAGUAUUUAAUACAAAAAAUCAGUAAAUUUUCAAUUCUUACAAGUCUCUUUCACUAAUCUUCCAAGUGACACACAUGCUUUCUGGCUUCCAGUAGAAAAGGUUCACUAAAGGAACAUUCACAAUAACAAUCAAAACUUGUGUGCGUGGCUUGCAGCUGGUAAGCUCGUAAUUCUUCUUGAUAAUGACAAUGGCAAUAACUAGUUACAACACAUGAACCAAAUCACAGAAAAAGAAAAUGUAGCAAAAAGAUAAUUGCAUACAUCAUGACAUCUCAACAACACUGCUUGCAUCUGCACAUGCCAACACCUCAGAAAAGAGUAGCCAGCAAAACAAAGUAUUCAUUAACCAGAUUGCUAAUAAAAUCACACGGAACAAUUAUGUUGCUGAUUGUUUUGGUAUCUUCCCUUCUUCCUGUUGACUUGUUUUCCCAGUUCCCUGCCAAUGCGGAAAAACAAAUGACUCGUCAACGUCAUGAGUUGCCCUACCAUACAAGAAACCUCAUUUAAAGAAGAGUAACUUUAUCAGAAUAAUGUUGAUACUUUAGCAGACAUAACAAAAAUACCAACACCUUAGAUUUGGAGGUCUGCCAUACCGACCCGUAGUGCCCUAUACCGAUCGUGCUGUACUAUACUGGUAAGGUAGUGAUAGGGUACUGAGGUUUGGUUCAAUAUAUCAGCCAAACUGGUCCAAACCGAGCGGAACUGCUCUACACAACCCAAUACUGGCCUGUAAUGCCCGGUUUUUGAGCAGUAAAUAGCUGAGAGAGAGAAAAGAGUGUUGCAAGCUUGAUGGAUGCCAUACCGAAUCGGUAACGUACCGAUAUGGUUUAGUACCAAUUUUGUGGACCUUGGAUUAAACAACUUCUAUUAUUAUGGGUGCACAGCUAGUCAACUUUAAAUUUAAUAACUAGAUGGAGGAUCUACCUGAAUUUGUUGCAAGAGUUCCUCAAGUUCAAUAGUUAUCUCCGAAAAAGAGGGUCGUUUCGCUGGAACCGCCUCCCAACAUCUUUUCAUCAACUCAACUAAUUUAGGAUGCGUAUUUUCCGGAAUCUCUGGACGCAAACCCUAGUAUCGCACAUAAAGAAGUAAUACGUAAAUAUGGUUAAAAACUAUAUAAAAAAAUAUUUUUAGCAUUUAGCCUACCAAUGAGUCAAUGAUAUCAUUUCCGGCAUUUAUUUGGAUUGAAAUCAUGGCUGUAAUAAUGUCUAUUAUUAGCCUUUUUAAAGGGGAACAGAUAAAACAAGCAAACUAUUUGAUCAUGACAAUAUUAAAAAACUUCUCUUUAUGUAGUUUGAUGGACAUUUAACUUUUAUUUUUUAUCAGAUGAGAAAUGAACAUGUCAAAUAACAGGUAUCAUUCUCCACCAUAUAAAAACUAUUACAUCAAAUAUCCAUUAUAUGUCCAACUAAAAGUUGGGCUUUCGAAACAUAUAAUUACCACUAUUCUAACCAUGUCACUGCCAAAAGUAUUUAUUUCAUGGAGAGAAAUUUUUACAAUAGACAUUGACACCUUGUAUAUUGAACUAACAAAAACAAUCAUGCAAGACAAUAGAAAGCUAGAGUCGGUCCAUGUGUGAAAAGCACUUAAAACCAAAGUUUUUUAAGUCCCAGUGGGACGAAAGGCGUCCCAGCCGUCCCGUCCCAUUCCUGUGAGAAAACGGGAAUAGGAUAGGGUUAGGAAUUCGAAACCCAUCCACAUGGGGAGAGAAGAAGAAAAGGAAAAAGUGGAAGGAAAGAAAAGAAAAAGAAGAAAGAAAGGAAGGGAGAACAAAAUGAAAGAAAGAAAGGAAAGAAGGAAGAAAGGAAAGCGAAAGAAGAAGAAAAAAUAAAUAAGAAAUACAGGAAAGGAUACAAGAAAGAAAAAGGAAAGGAAAGAACGAAAGGUAGAAGAAAAAGAAAGAAGGAAAUAAAGAAGAAAAAAAAAGAAAGAAAGAAAUGAAAGAAGAAGGGGGGAGAGAGACAGGAUGGUGUGGGACUUUGGGGCAUCCCGUUCCAUGAAGAAACCAGGACAUCCCCAUCACAUGAGAUUUAAAACUGUGCUUGAAAUAGUAAGUUACAAUCUUUCUGAUAAAAUAAUACAUUGGAUAGUAACACCAAGACACAUGGAGGAAUGUUAAUAAGACACAUGAAACAUAAUUUUUCAACCUAAAAUAUUUUCACAUGACAAGACUAGAGAGAAUUUGGAAAUAUGCGGACAUUGUCCUUGCAAUUCAGCCAAUGAACUUGAGCUAAAGCACCUAAGCUUGUCACAAGUAGGUAUGAAACAAUGAUAACCAUAGCAAUCUGUAACCAAGACAACUAGAUCCUUAUGAUCAACACAGAGAACAUUUUUCUAUGUGAUGAAAAAUACAAACCAGUCUUACUCCUAAUGCAGCUUGCAAGGGUGUCAUGGUUUCAUAUGGGACCUGCACAAUGACAUCAUAAACUUGUUACUCCACCUCAUAAUCAUAUGGUCCCAUCUUCCAAAAUUUGCUGGAUCAAUAAUCCAUAAGUUGAAAGAGGUGCAAUUUCAGCAUGUACCUUUGAUGUUACUAGCUCCCAGAGCACAAUGGAAAAACUGAAUACAUCAGCCUUAUGAUCAUAUGGUUGAUGAUUUAUAACCUGGAAAGAGCAAAGUUGUAAUAUAAAAAUCAGAAAAUAUGUUUAUCAUUAUUUAAAAUAUAAGUAUGAUAAUACUACUUUACAUGGUAUGAGGUAUGUAUCGAUUAUAAUUGUGGGAGAAAGUAAUUUUGAAGCAUUCACAAUUUAUUUUUCAGGUCAACACAUGUUUAU